rnacentral:rRNA from 1 species
UACGUAGGGCGCAAGCGUUGUCCGGAAUUAUUGGGCGUAAAGAGCUCGUAGGCGGCCAGUUGCGUCUGCUGUGAAAUCCCGGGGCUCAACCCCGGGCGUGCAGUGGAUACGGGCUGGCUAGAGGCAGGCAGGGGAGAACGGAAUUCCCGGUGUAGCGGUGAAAUGCGCAGAUAUCAGGAAGAACACCCGUGGCUAAGGCGGCUCUCUAGUACGGUACUGACGCUGAGACGCGAAAGCGUGGGGAGCGAACAGG